rnacentral:rRNA from 1 species
UACGUAGGUGACAAGCGUUGUCCGGAUUUACUGGGCGUAAAGAGCGCGCAGGCGGUCGGUCAAGUCGAGUGUGAAAGACCCCGGCUCAACUGGGGAGGGUCGUGCGAUACGGGCGGGCUGGAGGCCAGUAGGGGGAUGCGGAAUUCCGGGUGUAGUGGUGGAAUGCGUAGAGAUCCGGAGGAACACCAGCGGCGAAGGCGGCAUCCUGGACUGGUCCUGACACUCAUGAGCGAAAGCGUGGGGAGCGAUCCGG